GUUCCUUCAAGCUCUAUGGAGGCGGGAGGAAAGAGUUUGUGGGCAGCGGUGGUGGCUCAGCCGAGUGUCAUGGAGAGUACGGCGCUGGAGAGCCUCAUUGAGAUGGGCUUCCCCCAGAACAGAGCAGAGAAGGCCCUAGCGCUGACCGGGAACCAGGGCAUCGAAUCGGCCAUGGACUGGCUCAUGGAGCACGAAAACGACCCUGACCUGGACGAGCCGUACGUACCCCCCCAGGGCCACGAUCUCAGCACAGAGGAGCCCCCAGAGGGAAGGACGGCAGAGUCAGUGCAAAGCCAAUCAGAUUCUACAUUAGAGGAGCUGACGGAGGAAGACAACCGACGCCCCCUGAGUGAGGAAGAGAAACGAGAGCAGACAAAGAGGAUGCUGGAGCUGAUCACUCAGAAGCAGCGGGAGCGCGAAGAGCGGGAGAAGCGGGAGAGCAUUGAGCGGGAGAAGCAACGCCGGAAGCAGGGCCAGGAGCUCUCCCUCAUCCGCCAGAAGCUGCAAGAGGACGAGAUGAAGAAGCUGGCGGAUGAGCGGCGCAAGGAGAAGCUGGAGGAGAAGUUGGCCAAGCAACGGGUGCGAGAGAAGAUCGAACGAGACAAGGCCGAGAGAGCCAAGAAGGUGAGCGACGUGACAGAGGCUAGGAAAAGGGGGCGGCACUCGUUUGGCGGCGGUUGCAGCAGUUCUUCCCAGCCGGCAGCUCCCACACCAGUCCCCUCGUCGCCCAGCCAGGAGCCCCCCCUCAAGCGAGAGUAUGAUCAGUGCAGGAUACAGGUGAGACUGCUGGAUGGCACGUCGCUCACGCAGACAUUCAGAGCCAAAGAGCAGCUGGCCGCUGUCCGUCUCUACGUGGAGCUGAACCGCAAGGACAGUGGCGAGGAGCCUUUCCAGCUCCUCACCAGCUUCCCCCGGCGUGUCUUCACCGAGGAAGACAUGGAGAAGCCCUUGCAGGAGUUGGGUUUGGUGCCUUCUGCCGUGUUGAUCGUGGCUAAGAAGGGCAACAGCUGAAAAGCUCUUUCUGUGCGCCACUCUCUCACACCUUGCUCUCGGCCCCUCCUUCCCUUGCUGCUGUUAAAGAUUCUUCCCCCCUCCCCCCAUUGUAGAGGUGGAAGAGGAGGGCGAUUACUGUGGCUCCUAAAUCACUUUCAUACCCUUUGAGAAAGAAAGUCAUUGCACCUAUGGCCGAAGAUAGAGUCUUGGUUGGAUCAGACAAAAGGGCCUUUUCAUCCAGAAGCUUGCUUCCCUAAGCAGCUGUCCAAAUGUCUCUGGGAAGCUCCCCGGCAGCCCCCAAAGGCAGCAAGCUCAUUCCUGCUGUUGCUCCUCAGCAACUGAUACUCAAAGAUAGGCUGCCUCUGAAUAUGGAGGCUCUAUAUAGCCAAUGACAAACCACUUCUAACUUCCCCUUUAAAGCUAUUGAAACUAGCUGCCAUCCCCUCUCUUGUAGGAGAUGCAUUUCAUAAAGUGCGUUGUGAAGAAAGCCAGGAGCUCUCUCUCCCCGCCACCCCCCACCCCCCUUUGCAUGCUGCUGCCCUGGAGACUGAAGACCCAACAAAAGUCUUUUGUGUGAAGCUUAUAGCCACUGAUGCAGCUACAGAGCUUGGUUUAUUUAGAGCAAAAUCAGUUAACAUUUACAUAGCAUAGAUAGGUGGUGGGUUUUUUUUUUAUGCAGAAGGGUUGUAGAUUUUCUCCCCUCCCCAAUAUGACAUCCAGCAUAGGCUCUCCUGACGAUCUCAGCAAUAAAAAAAUGCACACAGCAUUAAUAUCUAUGCAGAGGGGAAGACUGGUGUGGUGGCUGCUUUGCAUCUAAGCCAACCUGCAGCAGACAUUGCUAACAAGGCCACAGGAUUUGCCCCUGUUCUGUCUUCCUGGCUGAAGUCUGAAAUGAUGCUGGAUCUGGAAAUGGAGGGGGGGCAGUCAGUAAAGGGGCGCUGCUGGUCACGUCUCUUUCUUUGAUUCGCCAGGUGGCCUUGUGAGCACGGCAAGACCCCCACAGAAGAGACCUGGGGAGAGAGAAGAUAUUAGCAGCAGACACGCACUCUUCUAAAGAGAGUAAAGAAGUUCCCUCCCUCCCUCCCUCCCUGUCUAAUGCCAAAUGCAAGUGAUGAGUGCCAACAGCUAUAUAGCCAAAACAGGGCUGCUGAGAAACCAAGGAGGAGGAAGCUGCAAGCUCAAACCACGGAGCCUGCAGAGGCAGUAAAAACCUUUUUAAGAAUUGUUAUGAGAAUAACAUGGCGGAUACAGAAUAUCUGUUGUAAGAUGGAAGUGCUAAGUCAUAAUAAUAGAUAACUUUCAAGGAGAUGUCAAGCUGUACUAUUACAAAGGAAUUAACCCUUAACAAUAAAAACCACAGUGCCAAACCA